rnacentral:rRNA from 1 species
GACGUAGGGGACGAGCGUUGUCCGGAUUCAUUGGGCGUAAAGCGUGCGCAGGCGGUUUUGUAAGCCAGAUGUGAAAUCCCCGGGCUCAACCUGGGAAUGGCAUUUGGGACUGCAAGGCUGGAGUUUGGCAGAGGAGACUGGAAUUCCCGGUGUAGCAGUGAAAUGCGUAGAUAUCGGGAGGAAUACCGAUGGCGAAGGCAGGUCUCUGGGCUAUAACUGACGCUCAUGCACGAAAGCGUGGGGAGCAAACAGG